rnacentral:sRNA from 2 species
GGACAGCCAUCGCCGAGUCCCCGCCGGGCGCGAGCCCUGGGGAGCCGGGGACCCAUGUCCCCACCGGGGUGAAUCGGACCCUUCGCAGCCCGCGGAGGAGCCGUAGGAGACCUUCCUCUCUCCGAACCCGUCAGCUAACCCGGUAGGCGAGAAGGAAGGAAAGG